rnacentral:rRNA from 1 species
AACGAACGCUGGCGGCGGGGCUUAGGCAUGCAAGUCGCGGGCGAAAGUCGCAAGAUGAGUAGACCGGCGUAAGGGUGAGUAAUGGGUAGUCAACGUACCCUGGUGACGCGGAUAAUUCUCCGAAAGGGGAGGUAAUACGCGAUGAGGCCACAGGACCUGCGGGUCUAGGGGUCAAAGGGCGGGGAGUCCUUCGGGACCGUGCCGCACUGGGAGCGGACGACCUCCGAUUAGCUAGUUGGCGGGGUAAC